rnacentral:lncRNA from 1 species
AGCAAAAUGGGAAAAACAGAACAAAGAAAACUAGCUAAUCCCUCCCUUGCCUGUCUGGUAUUAAAAGUUGCAGAUGAACAGCCCAGGGUACACGUGGACAGAGAAAUAAGGACUGUACCCAGUCCCUCGCUGUGGUCUGUCUCCCCAGAAUCCUUUCUGAAGGUCAUCUGAGCACAGUGUCUGGAUGUUAGCUGGCCUGGAACCAGAAGUGGUGUCUGCUACGACAAUGCCAGAGUUGGCAGCCCUAGGCCAUUCCUGUCCCGUGUUCUUACUCCGGGAGCGUGACAUCCUUCACCGGGGACAGAAACAGACAUCCAUUGGAGGAAAGGUUAACCUGAGAGAGCAACAAAUGACAUUCCGGGAGCUCCAGCCGACUUUUAUUUACUACUAUUCUUAACAGCGGGCCCCAAAUGGGAACUCUUGCUCCAACCUUAUGGUGGCUAAUCAACGCUACAGCCAACCUAUGCAGAAAAUAAGCUUGAGAUACCAGCUUCGGCAUAGCGCAACGGAACACAUUUCCUGCAAAUUCAACUGUGUCUAAGAGGCGAAACUACAAACUGCCACCAAGAGGUGACAAACUGACCGUGGAAGACAGCAUUGUGCAUGGCAGGAGGCUGUGUGCUGUAGGUGACCUUACUUUUGUUUUGGAAGGCAAGUGGCCCCACCCCGCACAGUCACCCAUGCCCUGCUGCUCUGAGAUCACCUUUCCCCUCGUCCAUUCUGAAGCUUUGAAAACAGAUGGGCUUGUACGUGAUAGGCACACAGUGCUCUGGAGCCCAGCAGUUCUGAAGUCCUUGCUGUUGUUCACUCUGAUGGGAUCUGCCACAGGGCAGACAGGUGGACAUGGAGGAUGGGACCGCCUCCCUACGAGUCUCUUCUUACCAGGACAUCUUUUGGGAAACUUAGGGGUCGAUUUGGCUUGGAGAUGACGGGUGUUAUAAAAACAAGCCAGGGACCACCUCUCUCUGUGUUGGCUCUAACUCCUGUGGUUCCUUACUACUGACACGUCUACCACACCAGCAUACACCAAAACUGAAAUUCUAUGCAUUCGAUUAUUUGAAAAUCAGCCCCCUAAAAGAUUUUUGAGCACUUAAGGCAAUUUCCAAUACAAAAGAAUUAAUUCCCUCUGAUGAUUUGAGAGCGUAUGAGAAACAGAAUAAAGUAAUACCAAGCUUGGUC